GACGAACGCUGGCGGCGUGCUUAACACAUGGAAGUGGAGCGACGAACCGGGGCUUGCCCGGGCGAGAGCCGCGAACGGGUGAGUAACACGUGGGUAACCCACCUCGAUGACCGGGACGAACCCGACGGAAACUCGGGCGUAAUACCGGAUGUGAUCCUCUUUCGUCAAGGAAGAUGAUGAAAGAAUAGCUUCGGCCUUCG
rnacentral:rRNA from 1 species